GGUGUUGGAGCGCCGGAGGCUAGUGGGUGGCUGACCCCCAGCAUCCUCGGGAGCGACCAUGGACUCCCUGGCCGAGUCUCGGUGGCCUCCGGGCCUGGCAGUCAUGAAGACAAUAGAUGAUUUGCUGCGGUGUGGAAUUUGCUUCGAGUAUUUCAACAUUGCAAUGAUAAUACCUCAGUGUUCACAUAACUACUGCUCUCUCUGUAUAAGAAAAUUUCUGUCCUAUAAAACUCAGUGUCCAACUUGCUGUGUGACUGUCACAGAGCCGGAUCUGAAAAAUAACCGCAUAUUAGAUGAACUGGUAAAAAGCUUGAAUUUUGCACGGUAUGAUUUAAUUUUGUGACUAACCUCUAACUACUUUUGCCUUUUAUAUGUGUUCUCUCUUUACUUUGUGCACCUUUGGAUUAGGGAAUGCAGGGUUGCAUAUUUUAUAGUCAAAGAAGGGAAGUAACAGUCAUUAUUCACACAUGGAAAAUUUACUAGAGUAAGAUUUUCUUCCUUUACUUAACAGAAAUUCUCCUGUAGUAUAGAAUAAUUAAGAGUUAAAACGCAGAUUUGAGGACUUCCUUACUUUUGGGUGCUCUGAAGAUAC
rnacentral:lncRNA from 1 species